rnacentral:piRNA from 1 species
UCAUGAAGGUGUCCCUGAAGCAUAUGUGG